GCUGUUCUAUAUGACCAGAGGGUGUUCUAUAUGACCAGAGGUUGUUCUAUAUGACCAGAGGGUGUUCUAUAUGACCAGAGGGUGUUCUAUAUGACCAGAGGGUGUUCUAUAUGACCAGAGGGUGUUCUAUAUGACCAGAGGCUGUUCUAUAUGACCAGAGGGUGUUCUAUAUGACCAGAGGGCGUUUUAUGCUGUUCUAUAUGACCAGAGGGUGUUAUAUGCUGUUCUAUAUGACCAGACGUUGCUUUAUGCUGUUCUAUAUGACCAGAGGCUGUUCUAUAUGACCAGACGUUGCUUUAUGCUGUUCUAUAUGACCAGAGGGUGUUCUAUAUGACCAGAGGCUGUUCUAUAUGACCAGAGGGUGUUCUAUAUGACCAGAGGGCGUUUUAUGCUGUUCUAUAUGACCAGAGGGUGUUCUAUAUGACCAGAGGCUGUUCUAUAUGACCAGAGGGUGUUCUAUAUGACCAGAGGGUGUUCUAU